rnacentral:rRNA from 1 species
UACGUAGGGGGCAAGCGUUGUCCGGAUUUAUUGGGCGUAAAGAGCGUGUAGGCGGUUUGGUAGGUCCGUUGUGAAAACUCGAGCUCAACCUCGAGACGCCGAUGGAAACCAUCAGACUAGAGUCCGGAAGAGGAGAGUGGAAUUCCUGGUGUAGCGGUGAAAUGCGCAGAUAUCAGGAAGAACACCCGUGGCUAAGGCGGCUCUCUAGUACGGUACUGACGCUGAGACGCGAAAGCG